CCUUAGAAUGCUAUUGUAAGUGUUCAAGAGAGAUAAGACAUCUCCCCCACUUAAACACAUGGCACAUCUAAUCUACUACAGACAAGUGAAGAAAAUCUUAAAGGAAGACCUGGAGAAAUACUGAGUUUGAUGAAACAUCCUUGUUAAGUCUGAUCAUAGUAAAGGGCAAUAGAGGUCAACAUGUUUAUGCAAAGAUGCAUAUAAUACAAAGACUAAGCAGAGCAAACUGAAAAAUCAGUUACAGCCCUACUUCACAUAAACCCAGUGAGACCCAGUGCCUGCCCCAAAGAGCUUACACUACAGUUGGAGAAGAAAAGGAAGGGAAAGAGGUGCAGAGAAGUGAAGUGACUUCCCCAAGGUCAAAA